AAAGUUAUUUGGCAUGCAAAAACGCGUCGAUUGAGCCUACUUUCAUCGAAAUCGGAGCCCUUAUGCUGAUGCCGUGGGUAAGCCUGCGACCUCUCGUUCUGUCUCAGAUCAUCCGACUAGAGACUCUCUAGUGAGUGAUAAAUAUCAGCGCUCUCUGUCGGGAAAUGUUGGAACUACAAUGCCGCUCUUCUUUACCAUCUGGAAUCCCACACGGAUCGCCACCCACAUACAUUUCAGCACACAUACGAGUACGGCGCAGAUAAUUCGGAUAAGCAUUUUUAUCAUUCGUAUGUAGCGGCGCAUUUGAUAGACGGACAAUAUGGAUCUUUAAUCGUUCGUGACCCGCCUUCAAGGAAUCUUCAUGUUGGUUUAUACCGGGACCUCCGGGAACACGUAGUAAUAAUGAGCGAUUUGUAUCAUGAACUUUCUUUGGAACGUCAUCCUGAUCGAUACAGAUCAAAUAGAGGACAAGUUGCGCAAAACUUUUUAAUCAACGACAGAAACGAUUGGACGAAUCCUGCGACUGGAAUGAGAAAAUACAUGUCGUAUUCAACUCUCAAUGUUGUAAGCGGAAUAAGAUACAGGAUUUGCUUCAUCAACGCGUGUGGCGCAGUAUGUCCGAUCAGAGUGUCAAUUGAGAAUCAUUCGAUGAUGAUAAUUGUUACAGGCAGUGAAGAUAUGGAGCCUAUAAAUGGAAUAAAUGGAUUCAAGUAAUGUCUACUCGAUGCAUACUUGAUGCUUCAUCUAAUUGUAGGUCACAUAAAAAUACCUCCAUUAUUUUUAAUGGUGCAUUAAAGAGAACGAGAAGGCAGUUAUUUAAAGAAUAAUAUAUUCCUUCGGUUAAUAAAAUAGAACUCUAGAUAUUUUGACGAAUAUUCCAUGAACAUAGGUGAACGUUUCGAUGUUGUUCUGUAUGCAAAUAAAAUUCCGGGUCAGUAUUGGAUAUAUGUAAAAAGACUCAACGAAUGUAUAUUUGCGGGUAUAUAUCAAUUGACAAUCCUCGACUAUCAAAGCAAUUUCGAGUCAUCAUUAUCAUCAAAGCUAGUAUAUUCUGAUCUACCUGAAAAUAUUGAUAGAACUGCGAGUAUACAGGUGGUCCUAACUUUACAAUUGCGAUAUAUUGCAGUAUGACAGAGUUGGUCAAAUAUUAAGUAAAAGUUUUCUUAACUUUUCGUAUAAGCUUAAAUUAUGCAUCAGCAAUUCAUUUUUACGUACGAGUAUGUGUGACGGGAAGAAUCGGUUUAUAUAAAUAAAUCGUUCGACUUUAUUAUAAAUAGUAGAGUAAAAUUGCAUAAUGCAAAUGUAUCUACUGAUACAAACUUUUAUAUAUUAUUUUUUUAUCUUUACUUGAUAAUGAAUUAUAGUUAGCCUUAUUUAGA